rnacentral:rRNA from 1 species
AUGUCGUAUGUUGCUGAAGAUGUGGUCGCAGCAGAUCAUGGUGCAGCAGCUCGACUGGAUCAAGGCACACUGGUAGGCGCUAUCUUCAAGGAGAUUCACGCCCUCGCCGUGGUGCACGAGUUAAACGGCGCUCUCGUCCAAGAUACAAUGAUCUCGUAUCUCCUGUUGUGCACUCAAGAGGAGAUGAACCAGCAGGUUCUCACCAACGUAGCUCUCUCUAUGCCAAGGUUCAGAUGUAUGUGGAGGAACACCAGAUGA